rnacentral:tRNA from 1 species
UAGCUAUAUGGUUAAAGCGUCUGCCUCCAAUGCGGGAGACCCAGGUUCGAUCCCUGG